rnacentral:rRNA from 1 species
GACGAACGCUGGCGGCGUGCUUAACACGUGCAAGUCGAACGGAAAGGCCCUGCUUUUGUGGGGUGCUCGAGUGGCGAACGGGUGAGUAACACGUGAGUAACCUGCCCUUGACUUUGGGAUAACUUCAGGAAACUGGGGCUAAUACCGGAUAGGAGCUCCUGCUGCAUGGUGGGGGUUGGAAGGUUUCGGCGGUUGGGGAUGGACUCGCGGCUUAUCAGCUUGUUGGUGGGGUAGUGGCUUACCAAGGCUUUGACGGGUAGCCGGCCUGAGAGGGUGACCGGCCACAUUGGGACUGAGAUACGGCCCAGACUCCUACGGGAGGCAGCAGUGGGGAAUAUUGCACAAUGGGCGGAAGCCUGAUGCAGCAACGCCGCGUGCGGGAUGACGGCCUUCGGGUUGUAAACCGCUUUCGCCUGUGACGAAGCGUGAGUGACGGUAAUGGGUAAAGAAGCACCGGCUAACUACGUG